CACCAACUCGGUUCUAUCCGCAACGACCGUGUCGUCGCCUAGCGUAUCAAUGAUACGGUAUCAUUGUGUAUUUGUGUGAGUGUUUGUCGAAUGUCGAUCCUUUUGCGUUACCGUACCCGACUGCGAGUGUUAGUGUGCGCGCGCCCUAUAUCUUUACAACGCACCGUCUGCCCUGUUACGCUUCUGUUGCUAUAGACGCCGGUUACUUAUUACUCAUUACGUCCGCAAGCGAGGUUAUGACGCUGCCGGUCCAAUACGCCAGUCGCCGAGUUCCGAUACCACUCACGUACAUGGUUCUCAUAAGUUGCUAGAAAUACUAUUGCGGUCACCAAAAUAUGCUGGAUAUGUGGGUGGACCCACAUGCAGUGUAAUAGCAAUGCAAUGUCCGCACAUAAAAGUCAUGGUUGUAGACAUAUGUGCUCAUUGUAUUUUACAGUGGAACUCUGAAAAAUUGCCCAUCUACAAACCCAGACUCGAUGACAUUGUAAAAAAACGGAGAAAUUUAAAUUUGUUUUUUUCUACAAACGUUAAAGAAGCUAUCCAAGAAGCAGAUUUAAUUUUAAUUUCUGUUAAUACCCCUACAAAAGACAUUUAGAGUAAGCAAAGGACAUGCCGCCGACCUAACAUACGUUGAAAACUGCGCUAAGAUUAUUGACCAAGUUUCAAUAAGUGAUGAAAUUGUAGUGGAAAAGAGUACAGUACCAGUACGUGCAGCAGAGAGCAUAUAUUAUACAUUUUUAAUUGUUCAUAUACCUGGAUGAUUCAAAAGGCAUAUUGUAUCAUACAUUCAUAAUUUAUACCAUUUUACUAGCUGUUAUAUUGACCUUUAUGCUUACAAGGCUGAAAUUUGAAUAUAACACCAAGUUGUAAUCGUGAUAAACCCUGUGCCUUUUUUGAAGGCAAAUUCAAAAAGAAAAAUAACAAUGAUUUGCAUUCAAAAAAGGCAAAGGUGAUACUCGUGAAUCACCUGUAAUACACGUUGCUAAGACAUUACUUGAUGAAGAAACAAAACUUAUUAUUUAUGACCCUAAGGUGUGUCGAAGGAACAAUAGUAGGAUAGUGGAAGAGGUAUCAAAUGUGAAAUUAUAUAAAAGGAAAAAACAACAUUUCAACGAGGAUGCUGUUUUUUUCCUAAUGAUCAAUGUAAAAUACAGAUAUCUUAUUCUUAUUCAUAACUAAAAUAGAUCUUAUUCCUAAAAACCCAAAAUUCACAAAUACUUUGAUGUAAUUAAAUUAUUUAUAUAAAUUAUGAGUUAUAUCUCAUUUAUUUCAAUUUAUGUUUAAUACUUAUAUUAUUAUACAUUCGUUUGUGUAAUUGUAUCUUCUAUUUCUAUACACAAAUUACAUCUAUGGUGUAAUUGAAGUUGUUUUAUAAUGUAAGUUUAUUUUUAAAUGAUUGACAAUUUAAAUUACCUAUUACAUGAAUUAAAUGGUAUAAAUCAUGUUCAAACUGUAAACAUUUAUA